UUGGGAUAUACUUAUACUAAA
rnacentral:miRNA from 1 species